UAGAGUUUGAUCCUGGCUCAGGAUGAACGCUAGCUACAGGCUUAACACAUGCAAGUCGAGGGGCAGCAUUAUCGGAGCUUGCUUUGAUAGAUGGCGACCGGCGCACGGGUGAGUAACGCGUAUCCAACCUUCCCCUUAGUAGAGGAUAGCCCGGCGAAAGUCGGAUUAAUACUCUAUGUUGUAUUUUGAGGACAUCUGACGAAUACCAAAGAUUUAUCGCUAAGGGAUGGGGAUGCGUCUGAUUAGCUUGUCGGCGGGGUAACGGCCCACCGAGGCGACGAUCAGUAGGGGUUCUGAGAGGAAGGUCCCCCACAUUGGUACUGAGACACGGACCAAACUCCUACGGGAGGCAGCAGUGAGGAAUAUUGGUCAAUGGGCGUAGGCCUGAACCAGCCAAGUAGCGUGCAGGAUGACUGCCCUAUGGGUUGUAAACUGCUUUUAUGCGGGAAUAAAGUCAGGUACGGGUACCUGUUUGCAUGUACCGCAUGAAUAAGGACCGGCUAAUUCCGUGCCAGCAGCCGCGGUAAUACGGAAGGUCCGGGCGUUAUCCGGAUUUAUUGGGUUUAAAGGGAGCGCAGGCGGAGGAUUAAGCGUGACGUGAAAUGUCCCGGCUCAACCGUGGAACUGCGUCGCGAACUGGUUUUCUUGAGUGAGUGCGACGUCGGCGGAAUUCGUGGUGUAGCGGUGAAAUGCUUAGAUAUCACGAAGAACCCCGAUUGCGAAGGCAGCCGACGAGUCCUUAACUGACGCUAAAGCUCGAAAGUGCGGGUAUCGAACAGGAUUAGAUACCCUGGUAGUCCGCACGGUAAACGAUGGAUGCCCGCUGUCUGCAAUACACUGUAGGGCGCCCAGAAAAAAUCGUAAGCCUCCGCACCUGGGGAGUACCGCCGCAACCGUGAAACUCCAAGGAAUUGACGGGGGGCCCCCCCAAGCGGAAGAA
rnacentral:rRNA from 1 species